GCCUCACAGGUUUAGCGAUUUAAUUACGUGUUUUGUGGGAUUUGCAAGCUGCGUGCAAUCUCCCCGCGUGCCUCAGGUCCACAAGUGGCAGUGGCCCUUGUCUCUCUCUGGUUUUGUUUGGUGGUACAUCAGGCCAGUCUCUGGAAGCCCGGAAUUGAGGAUGCAAGCAUGUUCAUGCGCGUGGUGUAGGAUCGACGGGGAAGGAAAUCGCUGGAGACCUUCCGCUCCCUCCUCCACCUGGGGCUGGGCCGUGAAAACUGCCCAGAAGAGGGCAGAGCCUGGACAUCCUAGAAAGUGGUCUUCAUGACAGAGGAUUCCUGCCAAUGACUUGGAUGUAGCUUUCCAAAGCUGUGUGAAGAAAUACAGCUUUGGCGUGACUAAUGAGGACAGAUGUGGAAUUUCUGCUCCUGAGAAAUCUUUAAACACAAAUAAUAUACUAUUUUUUGUUCCGUACAAGCUAGAAAUUUACCUAAGGACAAGAAGCUAGUCCUGGUAAUAUCCCGUGAUCCUUUUUAGUUGUAGUUUCCUAUGGCUUAGCAAUUCAUCGGAAUAUGAAAGUAUUCAAGGCCAAGAUGGUGGCUCACGCCGGUAAUGCUAGCACGUUGAGGGGCCGGGACAGGUGGAUCACUUAAGGCCAGGAGUUCAAGACCAGCCUGGGAAAUAUGGUGAAACCCCAUCUCUACUAAAAAUACAAAAAUCAGCCGGGAAUGGUAGUGCAUGCCUGUAAUCUCAGCUACUCAGGAGGCUGAGGCACAAGAAUUGCUUGAAUCCAGGAGGCAGAGGUUACAGUGAGCUGAGAUCGCAGCACUGCACUCCGUCCUGGGUGACAGAGCAAG
rnacentral:lncRNA from 1 species